rnacentral:rRNA from 1 species
UUUUGAAAGCUGGCACCUCCGGUGUCCGCGUUGUAAUCUCGAGACGUGUUUUCCGUGCGGCUCUAUGGACAAGUCCCUUGGAAUAGGGCAUCGUAGAGGGUGAGAAUCCCGUACUUGCCAUGGAAGAACCGUGCUUUGCGAUACACGCUCUAAGAGUCGAGUUGUUUGGGAUUGCAGCUCAAAAUGGGUGGUAGACUCCAUCUAAAGCUAAAUAUCGGGGAGAGACCGAUAGCGAACAAGUACCGUGAGGGAAAGAUGAAAAGCACUUUGGAAAGAGAGUUAAAAGUACGUGAAAUUGUCGAAAGGGAAGCACUUGAAGUCAGCCAUGCUGCUUGAGACUCAGCCUGGCCUUUGGGCUUGGUGUAUUUCUCGGUGGCAAGCCAGCAUUGGUUUGGGUCGUCGGAGAAGCGCAUAGGGAAUGUAGCGUCCCCGGACGUGUUAUAGCCUUAUGCAGGAUACGAC